UGUCACGCGGGAUUUUAUUUUAUAAUUUAAUUUGAAAUAUACUUAAAAAUGACUGAUUGAGAUUGUGUGGCAAGGUAUGAUUUUAAAUGAUAAGAGUUCAAUUGAACUUAAUGUUGAUGUUUAUUUAGAAAUCGGAGAGAUGGAGUGAAUAGUUACAGCUCUCGGGGAGAAGUGAAGUCACAAAGUCUCAACUCUGACUGCUCAGCUUCACGUUCCCCCACUAUGGUUAUACGUAUACACCUAUACUAUUGCUAGAACUAACCUUAUACAUAGUGCGUAAUAUACUAUCUUACAUGUACUUAUAUAAACUUAUUUAUAUAUAACACUUAUUAUUUGCGGCUGCGGCCGGCUUACAUAUUCAUGUACCUGUAUUUACCUGGCUUUAAAUUCAGCACAGCGACCUAGGGAAACCGCAGAAAACCUGGUCGAGGCUUUUAAGGUAUUAUCUGCUCAAUAAAUUAUAUCAGAUGCGGAA